AUCAACUUGAAUGAUUCAAAUGCGAUUUAAUUUUUCAUGAUGAAAAAAUGUUUCUGAGAAUCGAUGAUCGAUUACACCCAUUUCAAAUAUUAAACCAAAAGGAUUCUGACACAUUAAGAAACAUUUUACAAUUUGAAUGUUUUCCGCAACACAUUGUAACAGCCUCCAUUUUCUAUUUCAGUUGUCCACACGAAGUCGGAAUCGUGUAGCAUCUCCGGUUGGCAGACAACAGAAAGUUGGAUCAUUUGCUGGUGCCAUCUUCCUACUUGGAACUAGACUCGGGGUAGAGGCUACUAAGGACUCUUUGAAAAGGGAACUAUGAGGAUCGCGGUUCUACCAAUGUUAGGAAAACAGUUUCAUAGGUCGUAGUAAAUCAUGCUUUUUGAAAUAAACUUGACUGAAACGGA